GACGAACGCUGGCGGCGUGCUUAACACAUGCAAGUCGAACGAUGAAAGCGGAGCUUGCUCCGCUGGAUUAGUGGCGAACGGGUGAGUAACACGUGGGCAACCUGCUCCAGACUCUGGGAUAACUCCUCGAAAGAGGUGCUAAUACCGGAUACGAACUCCUUGGGCAUCCUUGGAGCUGGAAAGUUUUUCGGUCUGGGAUGGGCCCGCGGCCUGUCAGCUUGUUGGUGGGGUAGUGGCCCACCAAGGCGACGACGGGUAGCCGGCCUGAGAGGGCGACCGGCCACACUGGGACUGAGACACGGCCCAGACUCCUACGGGAGGCAGCAGUGGGGAACAUUGCGCAAUGGGCGAAAGCCUGACGCAGCGACGCCGCGUGAGGGAUGACGGCCUUCGGGUUGUAAACCUCUUUCAGCAGGGAAGAAGCGAAAGUGACGGUACCUGCAGAAGAAGCACCGGCCAACUACGUGCCAGCCGCCGCAGUAA
rnacentral:rRNA from 1 species